UACAGAGGGUGCAAGCGUUAAUCGGAAUCACUGGGCGUAAAGGGCGCGUAGGUGGUCUGUUAAGUCUGGCGUUAAAGCCUGGGGCUCAACCCCAGAUCAGCGUUGGAUACUGGCAGGCUAGACGGUUGGAGAGGCGAGUGGAAUUACCAGUGUAGCGGUGGAAUGCGUAGAUACUGGUAGGAACACCCAUUGCGAAGGCAGCUCGCUGGACAACACGUGACACUGAGGCGCGAAAGUGUGGGGAGCAAACCGGAUUAGAUACCCCGGUA
rnacentral:rRNA from 1 species